AGGCCUGCCUUGACUUCCAGUGUGUGAAUGCCUCAGCUCUACUGUCUGUGGACCUCCACUGUGAUGCCAACAACACAUGUAACAGCCGAGGGGUGUGUAACAACCAGGGCCACUGCCACUGUAAUGACGGCUGGGGACCUCCUGACUGUGCCAAGUCAGGGAGAGGGGGCAGUGUGGACAGCGGGCCUGCACAGAUAGAUUAUUCCCUGAGGGACGGCCUGCUGAUCUUCUUCCUGCUGGUGGUUCCCAUCCUGGUGCUGCUGGUGUUAGUGCUGCUCUAUGUGUUCAGAAGGGAUACCCUGGAAAGAUGCCUCAAAGGACCGCGCUCCAGACGCUCUAGGUCAGGAAACGCAGCAAAUGGCCAAGCGAAUGGCAAUGCCCCGAAACUACCAACGACACAACCUCCAGCAACACAGGCCACACCCCUCAGGUAAACUGUUCUCC